AAAACUUGCAAAUCUGGUUUUUCAUGUGCCAUUGUACUGAACUGGAAUACUUCUACCAGAAAAAUCAAAAGAAAACUUUUAAAAAACAAAUCCUGGACUGGUGUGGGUCUACUGGACCCUCUGUGAUGCUCAGGCCUCGGGCACCCCUUUUUGCCUGCAGUCCUCUGACUCAGCUUCUUGUUCAUGGGAGCUCCUAGGGUGUAGAUCUGAAUCCUCAAGGAGUGGAAUCUUCCCUGCCUUGGAGAGAAUGAAGAACCAGGUGAGGCACAGCCGUCCAGCAUUGGCCUAGGUCACCCUCCCACCUGUACUGCCACCACCACCGACAUCCGCAGGUGUGCCUAGGCCAUCGUUUCUUGGUCUUUUGGCUAAGAUGAAGUGUAGAUGCGCCUGGGCCAGAAACAGGCUGGCUUCAGCUUCUUGAUUGCAAACUGGAAGCCACACAUCUCACACCGCUGACCUCUGCCUGGGGUGACCCAACUCUUCUUCCUGUCUUGCUCAGUGACCUCCCCCCCCCCAGCUCAGCUGCCCCUCUCCUGGGAGCCCAGA
rnacentral:lncRNA from 1 species